AGUCCAAUAGUUUAACGGUUAUGACGUAUCCUUCACACCAGUUGUUGAUACAUCAGCUGCUCGGAUAAGAUCCCGGUUCGAUUCCGGGUUGGACUA
rnacentral:tRNA from 2 species